GCAUAGGGACAUAAAAGCUAGUAAUGUUCUAUUAGAUGGUGGUUUAAAUGGACGACUUGGAGACUUUGGCCUUGCUAGACUGUACAAUCAUGAUUCCAAUCCUCAAACCACCCAUGUGGUUGGGACUGUGGGUUAUUUGGCUCCAGAACUUGCUAGAUUUGGAAAGGCAACCACUAGCACUGAUGUGUUUGCUUUUGGGGCUUUUCUGCUUGAGGUGGCUUGUGGUAGAAGGCCAAUAGGACUUCCUGAAGAGGUAGUUUUAGUAGAUUGGGCCAUUGAGUACUGGAAAAGAGGGGCUAUUAUUGAUGCCAGUGAUCCUCGGUUGGAAGGAAAUUAUGUGAUAGAG
rnacentral:misc_RNA from 1 species